GUUUGCAGAAGAUUGCAGAAAGCUACAAAGACCAAAAGAAAGAAACGAUGAAGAGAGUCCAUGCUCCUGGAGUAACACAAACUCAAAACUUGAUACUAAAAUAUAAUAACCAGGUAAAGAAAAGGAGAAGUUAACAUAAUGAACACUCCCAGGGCUUAACUCUAGGUCAUGGUUUCCUUAACAAGCAUGAAUGGUCCUGGAAAAACUCAUUGCUCGAACAUCAUGCUCUUGGAAAGACAUAAAUUAGAAUCUUAAACCAGACACUCAAAAUCUUGAUGCAAGAUAAAAGGAAAAUACAAGCAAAGAAAGGAAAAGAAGUAGGUAAUGCUUCCUGGGUUGAAUGUAGUUCAAACAUGGUCCUUGAUAAAUUUAAAAGGAUCCUAGAAAAGUGUCCAACUAAAGGUCAAACACUAACAUAAAUGAUCGAAGCAAAAACUUAGGUCACUGCAAUUUUGUGACCAAAAGAAAGAAACGAUGAAGAGAGUCCAUGCUCCUGGAGUAACACAAACUCAAAACUUGAUACUAAAAUAUAAUAACCAGGUAAAGAAAAGGAGAAGUUAACAUAAUGAACACUCCCAGGGCUUAACUCUAGGUCAUGGUUUCCUUAACAAGCAUGAAUGGUCCUGGAAAAUAACACAAACGAGGAGAUAAAAGUUACUGUUUUGUAAAACCAAGAACAAAUUGUAGAUUAAAAUGUAAAAAAACAAUUAGAAGACACUGGGUGCAUUGUUCUUGAAAACAUCAUCAUCUAGAAACAUCUGCACAAAAUGAAAUAAAAUUAACAUAGAAAUAUUUUAAAAAAACGAGAGAAUAUAAAAAAUGGAUCCUAGUGGUAAAGCUUUGAAGCUGGUAGAACCAGUAACAAGAAACCACCUCCUUUAAGCAGCCCGCUAGGAAAAGGGUAAGGCAGCUCAAAAUGGAGGCUUGGCUUGAAACGACUGCGCCAAGUUAUAAUUCCUCGUUUACUUUGAGGGCAUUCCCUAUAAUGCUUGAUAGAUCCCUAAAAGAACACACGAUUACAAUUCUCACCCAACCUCUAUUAAAGUAGUAGAACUGGGUAAUGUACAAAUAUAGAAACUGAGUAAGUUACAAAUACAAAAUUAGAAAGAGGACAGCAGGUUCCAAAGCAUCAUGUAAUAAAAAAAAAACCCCAUCGUUCAACUCCAUGCUCCUGGAAAACACAUAAUUGGAAUCUUAGGCUAAACAAUCAAAAUUUAAUGCAAGACAGAAUAAUACAAGCUGAGGAAGGACAAGGGUAGUUAAUGGAAUAAAUACUCCCAAAAAAUUGCAGCCCAUAUAUGUUCCUUGAUAAAUUGCAAGGAUCCUAGAAAAACAAGUGGGAGAAGGUUAGACCUUAGUUAUGUUUUGGUAAAUUAAACUUGUUGACUAGAAUGAAACAUUUGUUUUGAUCUGCGAUCGGAAGCUGAAUCAGAAAAGCAAAGUAAGGAAAUACUUGGUGAUCUUGUGGAAAACAUAAUCAUCUAGAAAAUAUCUGCACAAAAUAAAACAAAUAAAAGGAUUGUUGAGAGAGAGCUGUCAGCAGUUGAAAAGGAUAUGGAGAUAAAAGAGCAAAGAAAACAGUCCUGUUGCUGAAGUUGGAAAUAGAGAUAAAACCACUGACAAAAGGCCAAGAAAACAUGCAAAACAAAAGGCCAACAUAAAAUUAUUGAUCAAAAUGAGAAAUCGAAGUUAAAGAUGCUUGGUCCAUAAGUGUUGAAAAGUGAUCAGCUAUAAAAAAUCUUGGCGGGGUGAAAAUGAAAAGAAGCAGCCCAAGCAACGCCGAGGUAAUUACGAAAUAUGCCAGCUCAAACAUUCCUUACAGCACUGAAAAAGCAGACGUCAUUUUCCAUUCGAAAACUAAAGGGGUCCUGGGAGCCACAAACAAACAGCAUCUAGGAUAAGUGGGUUAGGAAUGAGAAUUGUUGACUGCAAUCCAAAAUAAAGUAAGGGGACACCAUGCCCUGCUAUAUAAGCAUCAUGACCGCACAAGUGUUGAUUCCGAAAUAUGCCAGCCCAAACAUUCCUUAAAGCACUGAAAAAGCAGACUUCAUUUUUCAUUCGAAAACUAAAGGGGUCCUGGGAGCCACAAACAAACAGCAUCUAAAAUAAGUGGAGCAAACGAAUGAAAAUUGUUGACUGCAAGCCAGAAUUAAGUUAGGGGACACCAUGCCCUGCUAUAAGCAUCAUGACCGCACAAAUGAGGAGGAAGCCAUUUGCAAAAAAGACUAGUUAAAUUAAUUCAGAAUCGUGCAAACUGAAGAGGAAGUAAAGGAAGCAAACCAGCCAGACUACAUUUUCUCACAUCACUCGCCUUCCAGAACUGUCACAGGUUCCCAAAAAAUAUUAUAAAGUUAAGUGACACCAUGCCAGAUAUAAGCAU
rnacentral:lncRNA from 1 species